CAGCCGCCGCGGGAAUACGUAGGUGGCAAGCGUUGUCCGGAAUUAUUGGGCGUAAAGCGCGCGCAGGCGGAUAGGUCAGUCUGUCUUAAAAGUUCGGGGCUUAACCCCGUGAUGGGAUGGAAACUGCCAAUCUAGAGUAUCGGAGAGGAAAGUGGAAUUCCUAGUGUAGCGGUGAAAUGCGUAGAUAUUAGGAAGAACACCAGUGGCGAAGGCGACUUUCUGGACGAAAACUGACGCUGAGGCGCGAAAGCCAGGGGAGCGAACGGGAUUAGAUACCCGCGUAGUCCCUGUCUCUUAUACA
rnacentral:rRNA from 1 species